CAAUAAUACUUGCUGAUCUCUAGUUAGAAAAAGAACCCAUUUCUUUCUUUCUUCUUUCAUUGUCUUGAUCUGCAGAGUAAUGGAUGACUUUAAGAGGAGGAGGAGGAGGAGGAAUCAAAUACCAUCAUUUGGGAACUGGAAUUUCUGAGACGUUACUGGGCUACCAAUUACACAGUAUUUUGAAUCAGCAGCUGGAUUAGUGAGUAGAUACAGCAGUUGUUGUGGUGAUGAUAGAGAUUUGUAUUGUGCUGUUGCUGAUUAUGAUUUUAUUUACUCGGAUCCUCCUCCUCAUACUUAUAACCAUCAUCUUAUCAAACCACCACCAUCUUCCGUUACUGUUGUUUCUCGCACAAAGAUAAAGGGAGGAGGAGGAGUACCAAGUGAGAAACGUUUCAACAACAACAAUAAUAGGAGUAUAAAGGAACAAAAAAAGCAUGGCAGGGUAUAUGACGUGACUGAACCACCGGAAAAACAUCACCGGCAUCAUCAUUCAUCGAAGAAUCGACAUGAAGAUGAAAUCCAUCACUAUCACGAACAUUACAUUCCUCCUCAUCCAAAACGAAUUCCUCCGAAAGCUGUUGAUGAAGAUCUUUACAAAAUCCCUCCUGAACUUCUUCUCUACAAACCUAAAAGAAAGAAGAUGUUUGGAUUCUUCUCAUGCUUAGUACCCACUUGUGCUGCUUGGAAUUUGAAGAACAAAAAGAAGAAAAAAGGCUUUCCUCAUUUGGAGUGUGAAUGAAUGAGAAGAGUAAUUCUAGUCAACAGAUGUCGUAUACUUGCAUUCCCUUUAACUUUAACUACUUUCAACUUAUACAACUCAUAUUCAGAAGCCGCUUCAUUGGAAAAUGGGCCUUAAAUUACGUAGUUACUUGUUGUACUGGACCGAUCAAAAAAAAAUGUUUACGAGGAUUCGUGAAUCGAAUUUUGCGGGAGUCUAGGGACAUUAUGAAUUUAUGAUACAAAUUUAAAGUCGUCAGUUUAACCUCUCUCCAGGGCCGGCCCUGAGAUUUUGGUGCCCAAAGCAGAACGAUGCCCUCAUAUAGAGUGAAAAUUUCUUCUCUUUUAAGUAGGCAACUUUCUUUUGUUUGUGGGAGGGCAUCUGUGUAGGUCAGUAAGUGUG